GAUGAACGCUAGCUACAGGCUUAACACAUGCAAGUCGAGGGGCAGCAGGGAUUUAGCUUGCUAAAUUCGCUGGCGACCGGCGCACGGGUGCGUAACGCGUAUCCAACUUUCCCGUUACUCUCGGAUAGCCUUCCGAAAGGGAGAUUAAUACGAGAUGGUGUUCUAAUUCCGCAUGUUAUUAGAACUAAAGAUUCAUCGGUAACGGAUAGGGAUGCGUGACAUUAGAUAGUUGGCGGGGUAACGGCCCACCAAGUCUACGAUGUCUAGGGGUUCUGAGAGGAAGGUCCCCCCANACUGGAACUGAGACACGGUCCAGACUCCUACGGGAGGCAGCAGUGAGGAAUAUUGGUCAAUGGCCGAGAGGCUGAACCAGCCAAGUAGCGUGAAGGAUGAAGGUUCUAUGGAUUGUAAACUUCUUUUAUACGGGAAUAAACCGCUACGUGUAGGUGCUUGUAUGUACCGUAUGAAUAAGCAU
rnacentral:rRNA from 1 species